rnacentral:lncRNA from 1 species
CACAACUUUAGUCCUAUCUUUCCCAAUCCCAGGCAUGUUAACAAUCCUUGAAAAAUCAUGCUACAUUACUUUGGAGGAAAAUACUUCCAGAUGAACAUGUUUCAAGACAUACUAGAAAAUUAUUCCUAUCAAAACAUCCUUUUUCUGUGUCAGCUACCUCAUUUCUAAUGCAGUGCACAUCAAUCUAAUGUCAGUAUGAAUACACAUCAACCAGGUGCUGGCUUUCUAAAGUGAUUCCUUUGCAGAUAUGAGGAGCAGGUAUGACUGCUUCACAGACACCUCCCAAAGACAUGCCAUGGGCAGUGGGUUGGUGCAUGGGAAACUGGAUCCGAUCUGUCUCAUACCAAGCUAAGGAAACAAGGAUAACAAGGAGUUUUCCUGUACCUUGAUUUUUUCAAUAUGUGGGUUUAGAGUUGGAUGAAAGCCAGCUUUUAAGUGAACCUGGUAAGAUUUGUAAUGACAAUAUUUAAAAUGAAAGAAGGAAAGAAUAAGCUUGCCUGAAACAGAAUACACUAUCAUGGGCAGGAGAGUUAUAGCACUAAGGUGUGACUCUUUCACCCAGAAAAUGCAUUCCUACUUUUCUGUUUCAUAAACUGACCUGUAGCUUUAACUCACUACUUUUACACCAGACCGUAUUACAGGAGUUGCAAAGAGACAAACUGAACUGCACAUUUGCAGUUUAUUAACAUAUGUAAGCACUGUGCCAAUACAUUUACAUGAUAAGUAGAAGGCUCAGAAGGUCCCAACAAAUCAGGCAGCAGUUUGCUGCCAGGUAAGACAGUCUUGCCAGGGACUCAGUAGAAUUCAGGUCCAGCAAGGGGCAGCCACUUCUUCAAGGUUCUUUGAUGGGAUCCAGUGCCGUGAAGGACACUGAAGAAGUCCAUCUGCCCUUCUGCUUGGACUCUCUGCUAGUUGACACAGUUCUUUGUGAUUCUUCGACUUCUGUCCAUCUGUUGGAUGCUAUCUGUUACAUUAAUGGUGACUUCUUUUGCAGGCAUUCUCUUAGCAUCUCUUUUAGCCUGUUAAGUUGAAAACAGUGAAUUGAGUUACUAGGAAAUGUAAACCAAAGAAAAUGACCGAGGCAAGUCUCAAUCAAUUUAGAGGUUUAUUGUGCCAUAGUUGAGAAUGUGCCUGGGAAAAAGGAACAUAAAUCACAGGAACAUUUGUGAUCUGUGCAAAAAUUCCCAAAGAGGGUUUGAGGACUUCACUAUUUAAGGGGGAAAGAGUGGGCAGUAAGGGAAAGAGGAAAGGAAAAGGGAGGGUAGAGAAUAGGGGCAAACAGUUACAUUCUUUUGAGGCUUUGAUGAGCAUUCACUGAAUCCACAUUUUAUGUGUGAAAGGAGGGGAUAGAGGAACAGUCAAAUAUGCAUUUGUCUCAUGCUCAAUGAACUUGCAUUUUUUACAUAAGAUAAAAGAAACAUAGAAUAGUUAAUGAGUAAAAUAUGCAUUUGUCUCAAGUGAGCAGAGGGAUGACUCCUAGUCCUGUCUUUGUCCCAUACCUGUGAAGAUAAGCUGUUAAUUUACAUGGGGUGAAAUCCAACAGAACUCUGUUUUAGGGUAAAGAUCUUAGGGCCCACAAGGAAUUUCUUUGUAAGAAAUUGUGAGGGAGUCCCCCUGGAAGGUAUGUGGCCUUCUAUCUUUGCAGUUAUCUGUUUAGGAACAAAAUGGAAGGCAGUUUUGGGUGGCUUAGCUCCUAAGCUUAACUUUCCCUUUCCAUAGUGAGUUUGGGGUCCUGAGAUUUUUAUUUUCCUUUCACAGAAAUAUACGAAGGUCCUCACAAUUUGCAUUAAUCUCUUGAGAUUAUCACAAAUACACACACACACAUACACGCACACACACAGUCAGGAAGAAUGACCCACAAGAACGCAUGCACAUAUGCUUCCUAUCAGAGGUUUCUUUGUUGAAUCUUUAAUACCAACACAGCACAGAGCCUGGAAUAGGGCAUGUUUAUUAAAACACUGUUGAGUGAAUGAGCUAUGGUCCAUCAAAGGGUAAUGUGAAAGUUUUCAUAGUUGGCUUUAGUAGAGUGGUUAAGUGUUUGAGCUUUGGAGUCAGAGAGACUUUGGUUCAAAUACUGGCUAUAUGAUUUCACUAUGGGCAAGUUUUUCCAACUCUCUAACCCUUAUCUGUAAAAUGGGGAAUAAUAAUAUUAUCUCUCUCAUAAGGUUUUUAUAUGGAUUAAAUAAGGUAAUGCAUGUAAGGUACUUAGUACAAUGACUGUCACUAAAUGAAAAUGGGAAAAAAAUAAGCUUAAAAAGUAGGAUAGACUAUCUACUUCUAACUAAGGAUAAACCAAUGACAAAAGUUCUGAAUUAAUAUUAAACAUUAAAGCAUUAAUUAAAUUGUAGGUUCUUUAAGUAUAUGUGUCCAGUCCCUGACUCUCCAUCCCCUAAAAGAGAAAACAGCAUUGGUGAGGGGCAGUGUUGUGCCUAUUCUUGUGAUUGUGUGCUGGGGGUGAACACGAGUGGGCUUGUGAGUCACCUCCACUAGUGGAUGGACACAGUUAUUUGCUGCCCAGCCCCAUUCCAGAAAUGACCUGCUGCCUCGCUGCAGGGAGAACAGUCAGCAAGUAGCCUCCAGCUGGGGACAGCAUCAGCUGCAGAGAGCCACCUCACUCAAGUUUGUGCCCUUCCCAAGAUGGGCCAAUGUGCAGGUAAAUGGAAGGGCAUAAAGGUCUGACCAUUUGGGCCCUAAACAGGUCAGCUCCCACAAGCCAUUUAGCUGCAUGGAGCAGGGGUCGCUGAAGCUGUUGUCAGCUUGCAUUGUGGCUGGACUUCUCCCUUAACCCACUCCUGCUUCCAUCAUCCCUUUCCACAGGCGUUGGCCUCAAGGGCACUUCCUAACAUCCUGUAUAAUGACAUCUUGGUCUGCCUCCUGGGAACAUAGUCUGCCUCAGAUCCUGUGGGAACACCCCUCCAGGCAUGAGCACCUCCUUGUGCUGGGUGUUGAGAGAUGCACAUUUUUCAAACAACAUGGCCCCUGAACACAAACUACUUCCUCUGUAGUGCAUCCAAAUAAAUGGUGAACUAUUGCACUGAUGGAGA